rnacentral:rRNA from 1 species
UAGGGAAUCUUCCACAAUGGACGCAAGUCUGAUGGAGCAACGCCGCGUGAGUGAAGAAGGUUUUCGGACCGUAAAGCUCUGUUGUUGGUGAAGAAGGAUAGAGGUAGUAACUGGCCUUUAUUUGACGGUAAUCAACCAGAAAGUCACGGCUAACUACGUGCCAGCAGCCGCGGUAAAUCGUAGGUGGCAAGCGUUGUCCGGAUUUAUUGGGCGUAAAGCGAGCGCAGGCGGAAGAAUAAGUCUGAUGUGAAAGCCCUCGGCUUAACCGAGGAAUUGCAUCGGAAACUGUUUUCUUGAGUGCAGAAGAGGAGAGUAGAACUCCAUGUGUAGCGGUGGAAUGCGUAGAUAUAUGGAAGAAUACCAGUGGCGAAGGCGGCUCUCUGGUCUGCAACUGACGCUGAGGCUCGAAAGCAUGGGUAGCGAACAGGAUUAGAUACCCUGGUAGUCCAUGCCGUAAAACGAUGAGUGCUAAGUGUUGGGAGGCUUCCGCCUCUCAGUGCUGCAGCUAACGCAUUAAGCACUCCGCCUGGGGGAGUACGACCGCAAGGUUGAAAC